AGACCCGAAACCCGGUGAUCUAGCCAUGGGCAGGUUGAAGGUUGGGUAACACUAACUGGAGGACCGAACCGACUAAUGUUGAAAAAUUAGCGGAUGACCUGUGGCUGGGGGUGAAAGGCCAAUCAAACCGGGAGAUAGCUGGUUCUCCCCGAAAGCUAUUUAGGUAGCGCCUCGUGAAUUCAUCUCCGGGGGUAGAGCACUGUUUCGGCUAGGGGGCCAUCCCGGCUUACCAACCCGAUGCAAACUGCGAAUACCGGAGAAUGUUAUCACGGGAGACACACGGCGGGUGCUAACGUCCGUCGUGAAGAGGGAAACAACCCAGACCGCCAGCUAAGGUCCCAAAGUCAUGGUUAAGUGGGAAACGAUGUGGGAAGGCCCAGACAGCCAGGAUGUUGGCUUAGAAGCAGCCAUCAUUUAAAGAAAGCGUAAUAGCUCACUGGUCGAGUCGGCCUGCGCGGAAGAUGUAACGGGGCUAAACCAUGCACCGAAGCUGCGGCAGCGACACUGUGUGUUGUUGGGUAGGGGAGCGUUCUGUAAGCCUGUGAAGGUGUGUCGUGAGGCAUGCUGGAGGUAUCAGAAGUGCGAAUGCUGACAUAAGUAACGAUAAAGCGGGUGAAAAGCCCGCUCGCCGGAAGACCAAGGGUUCCUGUCCAACGUUAAUCGGGGCAGGGUGAGUCGACCCCUAAGGCGAGGCCGAAAGGCGUAGUCGAUGGGAAACGGGUUAAUAUUCCCGUACUUGGUGUUACUGCGAAGGGGGGACGGAGAAGGCUAUGUUGGCCGGGCGACGGUUGUCCCGGUUUAAGCGUGUAGGUGUGUGUUCCAGGUAAAUCCGGUUCACUUUAACACUGAGGCGUGACGACGAGGCACUACGGUGCUGAAGCAACAAAUGCCCUGCUUCCAGGAAAAGCCUCUAAGCAUCAGGUAACAUCAAAUCGUACCCCAAACCGACACAGGUGGUCAGGUAGAGAAUACCAAGGCGCUUGAGAGAACUCGGGUGAAGGAACUAGGCAAAAUGGUGCCGUAACUUCGGGAGAAGGCACGCUGACACGUAGGUGAAGUGAUUUACUCAUGGAGCUGAAGUCAGUCGAAGAUACCAGCUGGCUGCAACUGUUUAUUAAAAACACAGCACUGUGCAAACACGAAAGUGGACGUAUACGGUGUGACGCCUGCCCGGUGCCGGAAGGUUAAUUGAUGGGGUCAGCGCAAGCGAAGCUCCUGAUCGAAGCCCCGGUAAACGGCGGCCGUAACUAUAACGGUCCUAAGGUAGCGAAAUUCCUUGUCGGGUAAGUUCCGACCUGCACGAAUGGCGUAAUGAUGGCCAGGCUGUCUCCACCCGAGACUCAGUGAAAUUGAACUCGCUGUGAAGAUGCAGUGUACCCGCGGCAAGACGGAAAGACCCCGUGAACCUUUACUAUAGCUUGACACUGAACAUUGAGCCUUGAUGUGUAGGAUAGGUGGGAGGC
rnacentral:rRNA from 1 species